GAUGAACGCUGGCGGCGUGCCUAAUACAUGCAAGUCGAGCGAACGGACGAGAAGCUUGCUUCUCUGAUGUUAGCAGCGGACGGGUGAGUAACACGUGGAUAACCUACCUAUAAGACUGGGAUAACUUCGGGAAACCGGAGCUAAUACCGGAUAAUAUUUUGAACCGCAUGGUUCAAAAGUGAAAGACGGUCUUGCUGUCACUUAUAGAUGGAUCCGCGCUGCAUUAGCUAGUUGGUAAGGUAACGGCUUACCAAGGCAACGAUGCAUAGCCGACCUGAGAGGGUGAUCGGCCACACUGGAACUGAGACACGGUCCAGACUCCUACGGGAGGCAGCAGUAGGGAAUCUUCCGCAAUGGGCGAAAGCCUGACGGAGCAACGCCGCGUGAGUGAUGAAGGUCUUCGGAUCGUAAAACUCUGUUAUUAGGGAAGAACAAAUGUGUAAGUAACUAUGCACGUCUUGACGGUACCUAAUCAGAAAGCCACGGCUAACUACGUG
rnacentral:rRNA from 1 species